rnacentral:lncRNA from 1 species
CCCAAUCCGAUGGAUAUCUGUUUAUAAAAAUUCUCCAAUCAACCAUACCCACCCUCACUCUCUCUCUCCCUCUCUCCAAAAUUGUUUAUGAGAAUCUUCACUAUAAGGAGUUGAAUGAUGGAGCUCUCAUUUGCAAGAUAUAGUUGCACACUUUUACUCCCUGACUAGUGCCUAACCUUGAUUUGGAUUUGGAGAAGCAGAAGCUGAAUGUUCAAUAUGGUCUCGAAUUUAAAUUUGGCUCUGUGUUGAUGUGGACAGAAAAAUCAGCUAAGGAUAGUGGAAUUUUAUUCAUGGACCAAACAUUCUCGCAUAAAUAAAAGCAUGAAAAAUUAUUACAGAUUCAAGCAAUCAUAUUAUGUAAUGAAAAAAAAUAAAAUUAAAAGAAAUAUAUAAAAGGAAAAAUCAUAUACCCAUUAUACCACUAUCAUAACCAAAAAUCAAUCAUCCCAUGACUGCAGCCAUUAGUGUUAUGACCACAUGCCGUGUGAGUUUUCUGAGGUACUUUGCAAGAUCGUCAUCUCGACCACCGUGGCUAAUAGCAAUAGUAGCAAAUCCCAUCUCCGACCCUUGCAAAUAAUAGCAAUAACCACCAUUUUUCAUCUUCCUUCAAUUUAGAUUGGGGAUUUUGGCGCCGAUUUUGCCACCUUUCAUGGUUGUUUCGGUGCUCGGUGUUGGACUAGGGUUUUGAGAGAGAGACUAGAGAGGGUGGAAGGAGAGAGAGAGAGAGAGAGAGAGAGAGAGAGAGAAUAGAUUGAGGGGGGAG